CGCAAUGCUGCUUUGUGAGUGUCUAUAUAACAAGGAAAAACAUGCUUUUGAAGUCAGUCAUUUUGCCAGGUGCAGUUUGAACUGCUUUCUCCAUUAAAAAGGAAAGAAAAAAAAAACUGAAAGAAAAAUAACUCCUAAGCUGCAGCAUGUCUUGUCUUUUGGCCCACGACACAAUCUGGAGAACCAUCUCAGACUCAGUCUAUCUAGGAAUUCAACCCUGCCUGAAGGGCUGAAUCUGAGUCCCACUUCACUCUCUGAACCUGACAAGAAAUGUAGACCUAAGCCACCCAAAUGGUUCCUGUCUUUUAGGGACUGACCCCAAGUUCUUGCUAUAUUAAGCACCCCAAUAAGAUUCUGACCCUAGAAUUGCUGCUCAGGCUCUUCUUUUCCUUAAUUCCCUUCAAUUUUAGUUAAUGCAUUUUAGAGUCACUUGCACAAAUGGUCUUGCAAUGUGAGCCCACCGUUUUUGUGCUGGCACAGCCAGCAGUUCCAAGGAAAUCCAAGUUCCAGGGAGUGUGCAUUGGGUGAGCUGUGGGUGAGAGAGCCUGACGCCAGCGGGGUGCCCCGAGUCAGGAGACAUUCCUCCCCAGGUCUGCUCCUGGGGCCAGGGCUGGCACACAGCGUGGGAGGGGGAGGCUUGAAUCUGAGAGAGGGAAAGACAAAACUAGAUUUCCAGGAAGAAUUAGUUUCCACUCAAAACUGACCCCUGUUAAAAGAAGAACGCAGGUGCUACAUGCCGGGUGAACACCGGUGCCUGCGUGCAGCUAUGGCAGCCCCUGAAAAGGCUGAUUCUAGUGAACAUGCAGUCCUUGGUGCUACCUCUAAAAGCAGAACAAUAACAACAAAAAAAAAUUAAAUAGUUUUUACAUCUUACAUCAAAGAUGCCACUACAAAAACACAAUAGUAUCACACAUUAAUUAGUACAGUCUUAAAAAUGCAAACCAACGCUGGUAAGACUCCCAUACAUUCUGCAUAUCGUAUGUACAGGGGAGAACAGCUUCUCGAGAGGAGGGGACAGUCACAGAGAGAUAAUCUUCUGUUUUCUGAGUAAGUUGCAUAAUACAAAUACAUUAUCAGCAUAAGAAAACUUUAUUCUAACACUAA
rnacentral:lncRNA from 1 species